UUGGAGGGCAAGUCUGGUGCCAGCAGCCGCGGUAAUUCCAGCUCCAAUAGCGUAUAUUAAAGUUGUUGCAGUUAAAAAGCUCGUAGUUGAAUUUCGGGAUCAAUAUAUUGGUCAUGCUUAGGUAUGUACUGGUAUUAUUGAUUUCUCCCCUCUGAAGAACCAUGAUGUCAUUAAUUUGAUGUCGUGGGGAAUCAGGACUGUUACUUUGAAAAAAUUAGAGUGUUUAAAGCAGGCUUUCGCUUGAAUACAUUAGCAUGGAAUAAUGAAAUAGGACGUUUGAUUCUAUUUUGUUGGUUUCUAGGAUCGACGUAAUGAUUAAUAGGGAUAGUUGGGGGCAUUAGUAUUCAAUUGUCAGAGGUGAAAUUCUUGGAUUUAUUGAAGACUAACUACUGCGAAAGCAUUUGCCAAGGAUGUUUUCAUUAAUCAAGAACGAAAGUUAGGGGAUCGAAGACGAUCAGAUACCGUCGUAGUCUUAACCAUAAACUAUGCCGACUAGGGAUCGGAUGAUGUUAAUUUUUUAAUGACUCAUUCGGCGCCUUACGGGAAAC
rnacentral:rRNA from 1 species